AUUGAACGCUGGCGGCAGGCCUAACACAUGCAAGUCGAGCGAGCGGCGGACGGGUGAGUAAUGUAUGGGGACUGCCCGAUAGAGGGGGAUAACUACUGGAAACGGUGGCUAAUACCGCAUACUGUCGGAUGACCCAUAUGGGAUUAGCUAGUAGGUAAGGUAAUGGCUUACCUAGGCGACGAUCCCUAGCGGGUCUGAGAGGAUGAUCAGCCACACGGGGACCUAGACACGGCCCAGACUCCUACGGAGGCCGCCGGGGGGAAUAAUGCACAAUGGGCUGAAGCCUGAUGCAGCCAUGCCGGGUGGAUGAAGAAGGCCCUAGGGGUUUUAAGUAUUUUCAGUCGGGAGGCGUUACCGACAGAAGAAGCACCGGCUAACUCCGUGCCAGCAGCCGCGGUAAUUC
rnacentral:rRNA from 1 species